UGAGGAAUAUUGGGCAAUGCCCGCAAGGGUGACCCAGCAACGCCGCGUGGAGGAUGAAUGUCGUAAGAUUGUAAACUCCUGUUAGAGGGGAAGAAUAGUACCGGUUGGACCGGUAUAUGACUGUACCCUCAGAGAAAGCCCCGGCUAACUACGUGCCAGCAGCCGCGGUAAUACGUAGGGGGCAAGCGUCGUCCGGAUUUACUGGGUGUAAAGGGCGCGCAGGCGGGAUAAAAAGUCAGUGGUGAAAUCCUACAGCUUAACUGUAGAACUGCCUUUGAUACUUGUAUUCUUGAGUUCGGGAGAGAGAGACGGAAUUCCAGGUGUAGUGGUGAAAUACGUAGAUAUCUGGAAGAACACCAGUUGCGAAGGCGGUCUCUUGGUCCGACACUGACGCUGAGGCGCGAAAGCGUGGGGAGCAAACA
rnacentral:rRNA from 1 species